rnacentral:rRNA from 1 species
AUUGAACGCUGGCGGCAGGCCUAACACAUGCAAGUCGAGCGAGCGGCGGACGGGUGAGUAAUGUCUGGGAAACUGCCUGAUGGAGGGGGAUAACUACUGGAAACGGUAGCUAAUACCGCAUCCCAUCAGAUGUGCCCAGAUGGGAUUAGCUAGUAGGUGGGGUAAUGGCUCACCUAGGCGACGAUCCCUAGCUGGUCUGAGAGGAUGACCAGCCACGCUGGAACUGAGAAACGGUCCAGACUCCUACGGGAGGCAGCAGUGGGGAAUAUUGCACAAUGGGCGCAAGCCUGAUGCAGCCAGGCCGCGUGUGGGAGGAAGGCCUUCGGGUUGGAAAGCACUGUCAGCUGGGAGGCGUUAACCGCAGAAGAAACACCGGCUAACUCCGUGCCAGCAGCCGCGGUAAUUC